AAGAGUUAGGGGCCUUGCCCCGAACCUCCAACCCAAUGCGAACCUUACCAAUGUUGCUUUGGCGGGCCCGUGGGUCCAUCCUGCCGCCGGCCUUCCCGGUUGGCGAGCGUCCGCCAGAGUCCACCAAAACUCGUUUAAUUAGUGACGUCUGAGAAAAACAUAAAUAGCAAA
rnacentral:misc_RNA from 1 species